CGGUUCCCUUCCACCAAGUGGAAGCUUUACUUUCGCUUUUGCUUUACUUUUGCUUUCGCUUUAGUAAAUCUUGCUGCCACACACUCUUUGGGUCCGCGCGUUUCUCCAAUCGAGCUGUAACACUCACCGCUGUGGUCCAAGGCUUCAUUCCUAGAAGCCCGUGAGACCAUGAGCCGACUGAGAAAAACCUUCGAUUGGAAGAAGACUUCUCGUCUCACCCGGCUGGGUAGCACAUUCACUCACCACCUCCCUUGGCUGUGGGGAGGGGCUUCCAUGCCCUGUGUGGCUCUCGGGUGGGCUGUCGCACCACACUGCUCUUCCUUUCUCUUCACGAAUCACGCAAGCCUCCUAGUCAGUUCUGAUGAGAUAACCUGGAUAUCUUGGUUGCCGGUGAAGGAUUUACAUGCUUAUUAUGGUUUUUUUGUUGUUGUUGUUGUUUGGUUUUUUUUUUGAUGGGAGCCUCAGAUCGCCGCUGUUGCUAAUCAUCCAUCUUGGCCCUGCCCCCACAUUUCUGCAAAUUUAAAUAUGAGAUUUGUCCCCUUAGGUGCACAGUCCAGACCCCAUCCAGUCCAGCUCCUUUUAAAGCCACAUGGAAAGUCAGCUGAGAAUGGUUUGGGAGCCCAGGCUGCGCUGUCUUCCUCCCUGGCCUAUCCCUGAUAACUCCUACUAUUGAAACGAGCCUCUAAUCUGGUCUUCUGUAUUCUGUUUAAUGUCUUGGAUGCUUCUUUUUUUUUUUUUUUUCUUAGCUUCUCCAGACUGAUGCUUCCUUCCUCUCAGGGGUCUUCCUGUUCCUUCAUUCACCUUUUCUCCAUCACUUCCUCCCCAUCACCGCCACCAGGUGACAUCCCACAACCAGCACAGCCUCACUGAUCCCAUGGAUCACAGGUGCUAGGCAAAAUCUUGCUCAAUAGAAAACUCACUCUUGGUGAUAACUCACUGUUCUAUUUCAUCUGUUCCGUUGGAGCUGGGAGCUCAGUGAGCACUUGCAAGGAAGCUGGUGUUGGGCAUCUUGUCCAUUUUUAAGGAUGAAAAUUUGCCCAGUUUUUGGGUAAACACAGGCCAGCUGUCCUGGGAUGACAAAAAGUCCACCAUCCCAUGACUUUCAUGUUCUGGCUCACGGGAUGAUGAAGAUAUGAAAAUUUGACUAUGGCACUGACAAGCCCAGAUGGCACCUCCAGGAGCUCCCCAUGCCCUCCUCUAUGGAUUGCUCAAGACCUUGAAUACACUUCCAGAGAAAAUUCAGACUUUGAGCUGGAGUUUAUCCCUGAUCUGAAGAUUGGCUUCAAGAGUUGUUCAUCAAGAGGAGUGAAUCACAGUCACUAAAGGCACCUUCCUGUGACAUUUUGGAUGGCUCCUGGAAUAAAUUUCUACCACUGAGGAACCUUGCUGGUGAGGCAGAAGUCUCUGUCUCCACAGAGAAAAAGCCAAAAGAAGGGAGUUGUGCAUCUACUUAGAAUAAGAGAAAACGGUUUCCAGAUGGCUAAUGAAUGGUUAGGUUUCUCCGUCACAUGGCAACAAGUCUUACUUCCUCAAAUGCUGGUUCUAAGGACUACUGUGAAAUCCUACUAUUGAGAUUCAUCUAGAUCCAAUUCCAUCUCAUUAUUGUGGAGAUACGGUGCAGAGAACAAUACAUGAA
rnacentral:lncRNA from 10 species